GCCUUGAUAGCUCAGUUGGUAGAGCAGAGGACUGAAAAUCCUCGUGUCACUGGUUCGAUUCCGGUUCAAGGCA
rnacentral:tRNA from 18 species